GACGAACGCUGGCGGCGUGCCUAAUACAUGCAAGUAGAACGCUGAAGCGAGGAGCUUGCUCUUCUUGGAUGAGUUGCGAACGGGUGAGUAACGCGUAGGUAACCUGCCUUGUAGCGGGGGAUAACUAUUGGAAACGAUAGCUAAUACCGCAUAACAAUGGAUGACACAUGUCAUUUAUUUGAAAGGGGCAAUUGUUCCACUACAAGAUGGACCUGCGUUGUAUUAGCUAGUAGGUGAGGUAAUGGCUCACCUAGGCGACGAUACAUAGCCGACCUGAGAGGGUGAUCGGCCACACUGGGACUGAGACACGGCCCAGACUCCUACGGGAGGCAGCAGUAGGGAAUCUUCGGCAAUGGGGGCAACCCUGACCGAGCAACGCCGCGUGAGUGAAGAAGGGUUUCGGAUCGUAAAGCUCUGUUGUAAGUCAAGAACGGGUGUGAGAGUGGAAAGUUCACACUGUGACGGUAGCUUACCAGAAAGAGACGGCUAACUACGUG
rnacentral:rRNA from 1 species